UUCUUUCUUUCUUGUAAUUUUGAUUUGCUUACUAGGAAAAAUUGGAAGAGCUUGAGACAGCAGAUAAUGUGUCAGUCAUACGUAGAGAGUAAGCAUUUCUUUGAGUAAAGAAGAAAUCAGUAAUUGCUGAUAUAUGAUAUAAGAAGAAUGGUGAAAUUGAU